UACGUAGGGUGCGAGCGUUGUCCGGAAUUAUUGGGCGUAAAGAGCUCGUAGGCGGCUUGUCGCGUCGGAUGUGAAAGCCCGGGGCUUAACUUCGGGUCUGCAUUCGGUACGGGCAUGCUGGAGUUCGGUAGGGGAGACUGGAAUUCCUGGUGUAGCGGUGAAAUGCGCAGAUAUCAGGAGGAACACCGGUGGCGAAGGCGGGUCUCUGGGCCGAUACUGACGCUGAGGAGCGAAAGUGUGGGGAGCGAACAGG
rnacentral:rRNA from 1 species